UAAGACAGAGGGUGCAAACGUUGUUCGGAAUUACUGGGCGUAAAGCGUGUGUAGGCGGUCUCGCAAGUCGGAUGUGAAAGCCCCGGGCUCAACCCGGGAAGUGCACUCGAUACUGCAAGACUCGAGUUUCGGAGAGGUUGGUGGAAUUCUCGGUGUAGAGGUGAAAUUCGUAGAUAUCGAGAGGAACACCGGUGGCGAAGGCGGCCAACUGGACGAAAACUGACGCUGAGACACGAAAGCGUGGGGAGCAAACAGGAUUAGAUACCCUGGUAGUCCACGCCGUAAACGAUGGGUGCUAGGUGUCACGAGCUUUGACUCUCGUGGUGCCGAAGCCAACGCAUUAAGCACCCCGCCUGGGAAGUACGGCCGCAAGGCUA
rnacentral:rRNA from 1 species